UUUUCCUAAUAAAAAAAAAAGUUUAUAGGUAUCAAAAAAUGUCUUUCAUUGUAGUUUAGAUACUAUUUGGGGUAUUUACCUAUCCAAAUGCAUGUCACAUAGGCGCAUAAAACAGAAAAACUAACGGAUGUACCAUGUUAGGUAACAGCAAUACUUGAGGUACCAUUUCAAGUAAAGAAAAUUAGUUAUCCUCUCCCUUUUGUGACCCAUUAACAGUUAUCUCCCUUUUGUGAAGAAAAUUAGUUAUCUUCUCCAAAAUUAACAGAAUAUAAAUAAUGAAGGGAGAUGGGUGCAAGAGAGAAGGGUCGUGCUGAACUAUUGUUGAGAAUAUGGAGUAGGGUCAAAUUUAUGGGACGAAUUUGCCCUUGAAAAAUUAACAGGGUUAACGUCGUUGACGGUCACUAAUGCCGAAAGUUGGUCGGGGUUGAAACAUGAGAUAUGAUUAUGAUAUAUAGUAAAGUUGGGUCACGAAAAUUAAUAGUCAAACAAAGUUUAGAUAUUGUUUGAGCAACUUUCUCCUUGAUAAAUAAGUUUAUUUCCUAUAGUAUUUGACGUUUUAGCCAUAUUCUAAACUCACAUCUCAAGUUUCAAAAAUAUCAUAAUAAUACAUAUAUGACACUGACUUUGACUAAAUAUUUGUAACUGCAGUCGUUAGCUCCGGUAUAUAUGUGUUGUUGGACUAGGCAAGUGCCUAUACUCGCCUCUAUGUCAAUCCGCCCCUGUUGUUGGCUGCAUAAUUGAAAGAUUUUUGUCCAAUGAUUCCAAUCAUUGUUUCUCUUCUCCAAAGUUUUGAGCAAAUCUAUAAACUGUGAAAGUAUUGAAAUGGAUUAAAAACUAGAUAGAGCACAGAUAAGAAUAAUUUGAUUCAGCAGCUUGGUGCAAAACCUCAAUGAGGGAAAAAACACCAAGCAAGAUUAUUUCAUUAAUCUUCAAAACUUUACAAGAAGUAAUUCUCACUCAAUUACAAAUUCUUGUAUCUGUUUUAACUCUCACUUCUCACACAAGUGAUUCAUGUAACUCUACAAAGAGAAACUGAACAAACACACUGAGUCUUACAACACACUCAGCUUCAUCUAGUUCUUACACACAACUAGAUUUCAGGGUAGAAAACUAAGACUUAAACACUCUUAGUUUGCUCUCAGCUGAUUCUUCCACAAUCAGUGAUCCUUGGUUCUUUGACACAACCAGUCGACUAAGUCCUGCAAUGCAGUCAGCCUUUUUCCUAUCACCAUAAGAUCUCAGUUCUUCCAAUCUCAAAUGCAACCUGUUUGCAAGUCAGAGAGAAAGUCUUAGUCUUUUGGAUAAUACACUCAAGCAAUUUGCAAAUUGAUCAUACACAAGAUUAACUCCACAAACAAGAAAUCUGAUCAAUCACAAAAAGCCUACCUUACACAGACCACAGCAUAAGCAAUUUAUAAAGGUUGACACUCCCCCUCAACUAAUGCAAUUCAAUGAGAAAAUCAUUUUUUCGUUUAAGGAGGAAUACAGUCAGUUCACUGUUAUCUUGCACUUUCCAAAAACUCAAGAACCAGUUUCAUGCUAUAACAUAGUAACCAUAUAACAACAGAUUAAAUUGUUGGCUGCUGAGAGCAAUGAUUAAGUCUAUAUAAUUAUAUGACCAUAUAUGAUUUUAACAACACAAGAUUAAUGCAGAUAAUAAAUCUGUUAUUCCUGAUUUGUAACAGCACCAAAUCAGAUCUAGUAUAAUAAUUAUACAUUCUGCAAAUAUUCACUGUAAAGGGAACUGAUAUGGAAAUUUCUAGACAUGAGAUUUUCCACCAGAAAAUCAGCAAGUAAACAAAUAAGAUGAAAAGAAUUAACUUACCAUACAAAAUAAGUUUGAAGUUCAUUACCUUGAGAUUUGCAUCAAACGAAAAUACCUCUGAUCAAGCUGCUGUCAUAAUUGCUUCCUUUCCUAGUGACAUUAGGAGUUCUCGGUGUUGAAUAGUAAUAGCCAAUAUAUUAACAGUGACACGACCCACCCCGAAUUUCAUCCUGAAACCCGGAGUAAGUCGUGCGGGGACCACCUCCAAGGAAAAUUUACUGAAAAGAUUGAGAAAAUCUCCCUUGCAGAUGGACAACCCUAACUCGAAAAUUCCAAAUUUCACUCUUAAUUCAACACUUCCAAACAUCACAUAAUAUACAAUAAUCCUAAAGUAUUCAGAGCUACUAAACACAAACGGAAGCAAGAAAACACGAGUAGAUUGAACAGGUAACCUACUGAUGAAAACUGGCAGAAAUGCGGGUGACUAUGCCUCGCCUCUUACUAGAUCCAACCCGAACUCUGCAGACUGGGCAAUUUAAAACGAAAGGCCCAGGGGAAAACAUUUAAUAACGUUAGAGUGAGUGGACAAAAAUAAAAUAAAGGAAAUAAUUCUUUAUGCUUUCCCAAUUUUUACUUUUCCAUAGAAAAGAAAAUAUGCUGCAUGCGACAGCUCAAAACGCUCAACACGAAAACUGGAAUUUCAUGACUGGCACCGGCCAGUCUCCAACGCUCAAUAAAAUACAGCCUCUCAGGCUAAAAUAAAAUAUGUAUGUAUUACACUCGUCAUAUCCCUUGUAUGAAUUUUCUUGAAACAACUAAAACAAAUAGCAAAUUCACACAAGGCUACAACGCUUGCGUCUAACGCUCACGUUGCACCAUAAUGGCAUUNNNNN
rnacentral:lncRNA from 1 species